UUUUAGCAUUCAAACCAGACCGUUUUGGUGUAUGCUAUGAAACAACUACCUAUUCGGUUUCUGAUUGUAGUUGUCUACUUACUCCAUCAGCUGACGCCAAUGACGUAUAAUGGUGCUGGUGAGAGGCACUCUACAGCAGUGGACUUGUCCAACCUGUGGUUGUACUGGACAUCGCUCAGGCCUCUAUGAGUACAAGCUGCUGAUGCGAGCCUUUGGAACGUCUACAUUUUCGAAAGUCUAAUAAAUCUAUUUAAUAUACAUCACAAUAAAUCCAUUACUAAUUUUAAUCUGGUCUAAAGAAUAUAAUUAAACUUAGAUAAAUUAAAUGGAGAGGAUAUUUUUCCCAUUCCAGAGCGAGUGUGCAUUUGAAAUGGCUAUGUUGAGCAUUAAGGUGAUAAUUUGAAACAGGUCCUAUAUGCUGGAUUUAGAUUUAUUUGGCAACUUUAGUUGUGAAUGAUACAAACCUUAUUAUGUCUUAGAAAUCAAAACAUAUAUGGACUGUAUGGUGCGAUAUAUAGGCUAUUGAUGAUUUGAAAAAAACUUGCUCUCUGUUCCUUGUCUCAGGCUGUACAGUCGUGGCCAAAUGUUUUGAGAAUGACACAAAUAUACAAUUUCACAAAGUC